GUUGUUACAAAAAGAGCUAGGGCCCCAGACUGCCCUAGCUUCAGGAGACCUCUCCUCAUCUGUGCACGGUUGAGUGUCCGACUCUGCAGCCCAGGCUAUCGCUUCCCGGUGUGGUGGUGAAUCCUCCAUAGUCUGAUGAGUGUUUUUGUCUGACUCUGGAGCCCAUACUGUUGCUUCCUGGUCUGGUGAUGAAUCCUCCAUAGUCUGGUCCGUUAAAGGUGACCAUCUUCCGGAGGAGAGCAGAUUGACUACCGUGUGGGUGCCCACAAAAUUCCACCUCUGAGUCCUCAACUUCUGAUCCUGGGGUCAGGUACAAGAUAUCUUGCCACUUGUUUAAGGAGCUCAUUCCAAUCCAGUUCCUGACCAGACGGGGCCCUGCCAUUCAUUCCAGCCAG